AGAACCUUUAAAUCCAGUCCAGAGAGGCUGGCAAGGGCACGGAUAUAUCAGUUAGGUGGAAUAUGUCCACUUGUGCUUCUUGUCUAGCUAAGACAAGAAGCAUUUUUUAU
rfam:Thermoactinomyces sp. DSM 45891 genome assembly, contig: Ga0066384_103